rnacentral:misc_RNA from 1 species
UGUGGGAGCUGGCUUGCCUGCGAUGGCGGCGGGUCAGUCAGCAGUUGUGUGAUUGAUACAACGCCAUCGCAGGCAAGCCAGCUCCCACA